GACGAACGCUGGCGGCGUGCUUAACACAUGCAAGUCGAACGGAAAGGCCCUGCUUUUGUGGGGUGCUCGAGUGGCGAACGGGUGAGUAACACGUGAGUAACCUGCCCUUGACUUUGGGAUAUCUUCAGGAAACUGGGGCUAAUACCGGAUAGGAGCUCCUGCUGCAUGGUGGGGGUUGGAAAGUUUCGGCGGUUGGGGAUGGACUCGCGGCUUAUCAGCUUGUUGGUGGGGUAGUGGCUUACCAAGGCUUUGACGGGUAGCCGGCCUGGGAGGGUGACCGGCCACAUUGCGACUGAGAUACGGCCCAGACUCCUACGGGAGGCAGCAGUCGGGAAUAUUGCGCAAUGGGCGGAAGCCUGAUGCAGCAGCGCCGCGUGCGGGAUGACGGCCUUCGGGUUGUAAACCGCUUUCGCCUGUGCCGAAGCGUGCGUGACGGUAAUGGGUAAAGAAGCACCGGCUAACUACGUG
rnacentral:rRNA from 1 species